rnacentral:rRNA from 1 species
UAACAUUAGAGUUUGAUUCUGGCUCAGGACGAACGCUGGCGGCGUGCUUAAUACAUGCAAGUCGAACGGUGUUGAUUGCUGCACCAAGUUAUCUCAAAAGAGGUAGUUUGGUGCAGCGACCAGCAUAGUGGCGGACGGGUGAGUAACACGUGAAUAAUCUGCCUUUUAGAGGGGGACAACAACUAGAAAUAGUUGCUAAUACCGCAUAUGACCACAGCCCGGCAUCGGGUAGGGGUGAAAGGAGUAAUCCGCUAAAAGAUGAGUUCGCGCACCAUUAGUUAGUUGGCAGGGUAAUGGCCUACCAAGACUACGAUGGUUAGCCGGCCUGAGAGGGUGAUCGGCCACACUGGAACUGAGAUACGGUCCAGACUCCUACGGGAGGCAGCAGUAAGGAAUAUUGGGCAAUGGAGGAAACUCUGACCCAGCAACGCCGCGUGAAGGAAGAAGGUCUUCGGAUUGUAAACUUCUGUUAUUCGGGAAGAAGAUAGCGACGGUACCUAAUGAGAAAGCCCCGGCUAACUACGUGCCAGCAGCCGCGGUAAUACGUAGGGGGCAAGCGUUGUCCGGAAUAACUGGGCGUAAAGAGAGCGUAGGCGGUUUGAUAAGUCAAAUGUGAAAUCCCUCGGCUUAACCGGGGAAUUGCAUUUGAUACUGUUAGACUCGAGUGCAGGAGAGGUGAGUGGAAUUCCUAGUGUAGCGGUAAAAUGCAUAGAUAUUAGGAGGAACACCAGAGGCGAAGGCGGCUCACUGGACUGUAACUGACGCUGAGGCUCGAAAGCGUGGGGAGCAAACAGGAUUAGAUACCCUGGUAGUCCACGCCCUAAACGAUGGAUACUAAACGUGGGAGGUAUCGACUCCUUCCGUGUUGUAGCUAACGCGCUAAGUAUCCCGCCUGGGGAGUACGGUCGCAAGAUUAAAACUCAAAGAAAUUGACGGGGACCCGCACAAGCAGCGGAGCAUGUGGUUUAAUUCGACGUUACGCGAAAAACCUUACCAAGACUUGACAUUGUAUGCAUAGCCUGGAAACAGGUGAAAUUAUAGCAAUAUAACAUAUAAACAGAUGGUGCAUGGUUGUCGUCAGCUCGUGUCGUGAGAUGUUGGGUUAAGUCCCGCAACGAGCGCAACCCUUACUGUUAGUUGCCAUCAUUAAGUUGGGCACCCUAGCAGGACUGCCGUGGAUAACGCGGAGGAAGGUGGGGAUGAUGUCAAAUCAUCAUGCCUCUUACGUCUUGGGCUACACACGUGCUACAAUGGCCGUUACAAAGAGAUGCAAUAUGGUAACAUGGAGCAAAUCCCAAAAAGACGGUCUCAGUUCAGAUUGUGGGCUGCAACCCGCCCACAUGAAGUCGGAGUUGCUAGUAAUCGCGAAUCAGCAUGUCGCGGUGAAUGCGUUCUCGGGUCUUGUACACACCGCCUGUCACGUCAUGGGAGUUGGGAGUACCCAAAGUCGGCGAGCUAACCCGCAAGGGAGGCAACUGCCUAAGGUAAUACCAGCGACUGGGAUGAAGUCAUAACAAGGCAGCCGUACGAGAACGUGCGGCUGGAUCACCUCCUUU